CGAGUGCCAUCUAUUAUUGCCUUAUUUAUCUAAAAGUGCACUUUUCCUUGUUUUAAAUCUAGCCAAAAACCCAUGUGUUGACUUUGAAACAGCAGACAUUAAUGGACUCCAUGCAGAAACAAUUGCUGGAUGACUGCUACAGAUGCAUCUCUCCUGGAGCACACUGAUGGACAGCAAACAAGUGCAGUGUGAACGCUCUGAACUGUUAACAUGUGCACCAUAUACGUCAUAAAUAGAACACAGCAGCAGUUUUCUGCCGUUGGAUUUAGUGUCGCUCUGUGCUGCAUCCAGUGUAGACUGUUUAUAAUGAGUUCUGCAGUAUUUUGUCGUGCCACACCACUCGUGUUCGGUGUAGACACAGUGUAAGGCUGAGGACCCAAGGAAUUUUUUUUUUUUUACCCACGAUACAUUCUGAUUCCGAGUGUACAAGCGAUAUAUACUCGCAGAGCACUAUUUCCCACAAUCCUAUGUGAAGAACCGGGCAAACUAGAAGCGAGAGCGGGAGAGAGUGAGUUUGAACGAGAGAUGCCGUUUACAUCUUUAUUUCUGUUUUACAUUUUUUUCAUUCAUUAUUUAUAUUAACAUAUGUUACGUAGGCAAUAACUCAGUUUAAUAUUUUACUAAUUUACUGAGAUGGCAUCAUUGUUAACUUACAAAAAUGAUGAUAAUUUGGUGGAUAAUUAAAAAAUGUUCGUUAAUCACAGUAGGUAGCGUAUUGAUUUUGCUGUAAAAUUAAUGAUCACCUGAGGGCACUCUAUGACCAUUACCUGAUCUGAGCUCAAAAGUGUCAAGAUACUAAAAAUAAUAAAUGCAUAACAUUAUGAACGUGUUAAUGUAUGUUUAUUUUUGUUCUCAGUAUAUUAAUAGCAUUUUAUGAUUAUGAAAAUAAAAACAUUACAAAACAAAUUAAUAUACCAUCGAUGAAACCACAAAGCUGACGCAGAGGUAUGUAUAAUCAUCAGUCAUUUUGAGUAUUAUUGCUAUAUUAUUUUCUUAAAUAAGGUACAUGUAAUAUAAAAGUACAUAUGGCAAUGUUUUUGCAACAGCUCCAGGUCUUACGCGAAGUGUAUACGUCACCGUCCGAAUCCAUUCACUUACGUGUUCACUCCUUUCUGAUAUAGUCCACUCAUCCGCUAUACACUAUAUAGGGUUGUUCAAUGAGUGAACGAGUAAGCGAAUUCGGACACAUAUAAAGACAAAACUCUGUCAGAGGCCUAUCUUUUUCCAGCAGGCUCAGAACAAGAUAAUGUUAAAUGUAAAUAAUGGCUCAACAUGCGGAGUACGUUUUUUAGAAAGGCCCCUAAGAAUGAGAUGUCUUUAUUAGACACACACCCGCAUACAGCACUUGUUGGUGACAUCAGUGGAGCACUGGGUGAAACGACCUACUUUGGAAAAGAGCAUGUUUGAGAAUGUGCUUGUUCAGUGCCCCUUUUGAGAUCAGGUCACAGAAAAAAAAAAUUUCAAAUGUAAAAACAGUCACUAAAAUUGCAGCACAGUUACUGCAAUCCUCAUUAUACAAUACCACAAGUAUUUCUAUUUUCAUGGGGAAAAUUGUAAAAAAUGUAAACUUUUUUUUUUUUUUUUGCUUGGCAUGCUUUCAAACUGAGGAUAUCAAACUGAAAAUUAAGAGAAUGGAGUAAUACACUCCAGUUCAAAAUUUUGUGAUUUGUAAGAUUUUUCUUCACGUCUUUAAAAGAAUAAUCUUAUGUUAAUUUAUUUACACAAAAAUACACUAAAACGGUGAUACUGUGGAAUAUUUGUCAAAAUAACAGUUUUCUAUUUGAAUCUUUACAAAUGAAAAAAAAAAAAAAUUAAAUUUAAUUUUUUGCCAUUACUCCAGUUUUCCAUGUCACAUGAUACUUCAGAAAUCAUACUACCAUGCUGAUUAGCUGUUCAAGAAACAUUUCUUUUCAUUAUUAAUAUUAAUGUUGAAAACACUUUGUGCUGAUAAAUACUUUUGUGAAAGCUGUGACACUUUUCUUGCAGGGUUCUUUGAUGAAUAGAAAGUUCGAAAGAACAUUUACUGAAAAAAAUUGUAAUUUCCUGUCCUCUAUUUACUGUCACUUUUUGUCACUUACUGAGCAAAACUUUUGAACUGCAGUGUAUUCACCUUAUUUUCCAUGGCAACAACGGUGCCGCCAUUGCGCUCGUUUUGUCAUCUUACUUCCGGCUGAGGGACCGGAUGUAACGUACCUAAGCUAGUGGCUGGCUAGAUAACAGAACGCAGAACGAACAGAAGUAUGAUAUAUGCUCAGUUAGGGGCUGCAUAACAAUUGUAUUAAAAAAUAAUUGCACCAACGAUGUAGCGAACACAUUGUGACGCGGUCGGAGUGCUGUGGUGCACUUUACAAUUUACACCCACCACCUAAAGAAGAGAAGCACCUGAGGAAAUGGAUGAAGGCGCUAAAUUUGAAGCGCCCACCCAAGCGCUCUUAUGUGUGUUCGUACCAUUUCAUGGACGGGAAGGCGACUGACGAACACUUUUACCCCGAGAAAUGGCUCGACUACGAUGUCCCGUUAAAGAGGUCACGCCGGGGAUGGAAAGGUUAUCAGAUUCGGAUGUAUCGAUGACCGCCAGUGAUGCAGUGGACAGCUGUGAGGGUCAUCAGAUCCACAUGCCCCUGAUCUUGCUGAAAGUCACCAGAAGUUACCUGCUGUGAUAGUUAUUUUUUAUGAACCUUUACAAAGUCACCAAAAGUUACCUGCUGUAAUAGUUAUUAUGAACCUUUACAGUGUCACCUGACAUUACCUGCUGUAAAUAGUUUUUAUUUAUUUAUCUUAAUUUGAUCUUUUUUUCAUCUUUAAUCUCUGAUUUGAAGGAAUAACUCAUGUCAAGUUUGCAAGUUAAUUCCAUCUUGGUUUAUUACAUAUGGAAAUUAAAUGUUGAAAUUUUAUAGGAUGGUCAGUAGAAGGUGUCUCUUGCUUCCUGAAAACAACAAACACUGAUCAAUACAUCACAAAUGAUUUUAUACAACUUAUAUUAAAUGAUCCAUGUUCUAAAAAACAAA